rnacentral:rRNA from 1 species
AGAUUGAACGCUGGCGGCAUGCUUUACACAUGCAAGUCGAACGGUAACAGGUCUUCGGAUGCUGACGAGUGGCGAACGGGUGAGUAAUACAUCGGAACGUGCCUAGUAGUGGGGGAUAACUACUCGAAAGAGUAGCUAAUACCGCAUGAGAUCUACGGAUGAAAGCAGGGGACCUUCGGGCCUUGUGCUACUAGAGCGGCUGAUGGCAGAUUAGGUAGUUGGUGGGGUAAAGGCUUACCAAGCCUGCGAUCUGUAGCUGGUCUGAGAGGACGACCAGCCACACUGGGACUGAGACACGGCCCAGACUCCUACGGGAGGCAGCAGUGGGGAAUUUUGGACAAUGGGCGAAAGCCUGAUCCAGCAAUGCCGCGUGCAGGAUGAAGGCCCUCGGGUUGUAAACUGCUUUUGUACGGAACGAAAAGCCUGGGGCUAAUAUCCCCGGGUCAUGACGGUACCGUAAGAAUAAGCACCGGCUAACUACGUGCCAGCAGCCGCGGUAAUACGUAGGGUGCAAGCGUUAAUCGGAAUUACUGGGCGUAAAGCGUGCGCAGGCGGUUUUGUAAGACAGUGGUGAAAUCCCCGGGCUCAACCUGGGAACUGCCAUUGUGACUGCAAGGCUAGAGUGCGGCAGAGGGGGAUGGAAUUCCGCGUGUAGCAGUGAAAUGCGUAGAUAUGCGGAGGAACACCGAUGGCGAAGGCAAUCCCCUGGGCCUGCACUGAC